rnacentral:misc_RNA from 1 species
GAUGAAGAACGCAGCGAAAUGCGAUAAGUAAUGUGAAUUGCAGAAUUCAGUGAAUCAUCGAAUCUUUGAACGCACAUUGCGCCCCCCAGGAUUCUGGCGGGCAUGCCUGUUCGAGCGUCAUUUCAACCAUCAAGCCCUGCUUGUGUUGGGGUCCUGCGGCUGCCCGCAGGCCCUGAAAACCAGUGGCGGGCUCGCUAGUCACACCGAGCGCAGUAGCACAUCUCGCUCAGGGCGUGCGGCGGGCUCCAGCCGUUAAAGCACCCACCUUUCGCAAGGUUGACCUCGGAUCAGGUAGGAAUACCCGCUGAACUUAAGCAUAUCAAUAAGCGGAGGA